UAAAUUCUAGUCUAAGGUGGCGUUUUUUUUUUAACUUAAUAAUUUAAAGUGGCUUAACUUAAUUAAUUAAGUUAAUUAGAGGUGUUUAUUUUUAUAACUUAAUGAGACUUAUUAGAUAAUUUUGACUUAAUAAAAUAAGCUAAUUUUUUUGACUUUUUACUUAAUGGAGAAAUUUGAAUUAAGUCAAUUACUUACUAAUGUAAAAAAUAUCCCUGCUUUAUAAUUUAUUUUUCAUGUCUAUCCCAAAACUCACCCAUAGACAUUUACCCCACAUAAAAAUAUCCCUAUUUUUUCUUUCUUAUAUUAUAUACGAUAAAAUUUGAAAAUUAUGGUAUUUUAUAUAUUAAAAUUCUAAAAUAAUUAUGUAUUCACUUGAAUAUAGUUUUACUUAUAAAUGUUAAAAUAUUAUGGUAUUUAAUAUAUUAUUUAUUUGAUAUUCAAAUUUAAUAAGGAUACAAAUAUAAAAGUAUAUAUUUUUAACUUUUUAAGUUGAAAAAAAUAAACAAUUUAAUACUUAUUUUUCGAGAUUCAGACGAAAAAAAAAACAUAUUAUUCAGAUUCAGACAUUCAGAUCUAUUCAGAAUUCAGAUUAAUUCAGGUCUAUUUAAAUUUUAAACAAAAAAAUAAACGCCACCGAAGCGUUCAAAAAAUAUACCCAACCCACUUCCGAGGUUUGCCAUCCCAAUUUCAUUCUCCCUCUUCUUCAUUUUCCAAUCAUUAAAAUAUCCAAGAAGAUAAAGGCGUACAUAAAGAUAACGAUAAACUUAUAAUCAGUUUUAUGACCUAAAAGCAUGUAAUAAGAUAAUAUUUUCUGAAUUUAAUGGCUGCAUUAUUGUGGCUGUCUGCCCAACUUCAGAGUAGGGAUGGCAGAUUAACCCGCACCCGCCCCGGACUCGGACGAACCCAAAAAAUCUGGGUCGGGUUGAACCCGUACCGGAGUGUAAAAACCCGGUAUCCGGAAUGAAUUUUAAUGACCCGGAUAUAUUCGGGUCCAAUUCCGGGUUGGAGCUAAUCCGUAUAUCCGGAACCCGGACCCGGACAUCUUAUUUUAAUAUUAUUUUUUUAAUUAUAUUUAUUAAUUAAUAUAAAUACAAACAUGACUUUCCAAAAAAAAUAUAAAUACAAAAAUAAAGAAACCCUAAUUUUAUCAUAUUGAAGUUGAAGCUGCCGCCUACUGCAGGCAAAUUGCCCGCUGCCAAACAACGAUCCAGGUUGCUACCGUCGCAAGUUCGACACCAUCUCAAGUUCGCCACCGUCGCAAACUUGGGUUCGCGCCACCGUCGCAAGCUUGAGUUCGCGCCACCGUUGCAACUCAUACCCUCGGAUUCACGGUGAAUCGUUCACCACCGUCGCAGCCUCACAGGUCACAACUCGUACUCUCGGAUUCACGGUGAACCGUUCACCACCGUCGCAGCCUCGCAAGCUUGCAGCUCCUCUAUUCAUCAUCGGCUGCCCUUUUUUGAGUUGUAACAGUGCACCUUCAUCAUCAUUUGCCGUUAUUGCUUAGAAAUUUAUAUUGUUGAUUAGUGAUUUACAAUCUGGAUGUGUUGUUGCCUGAAAAUGUAUUAAUAUUUCAUUUUUACAAUUUUAAAAAUUGAUUCAUUGAUCCGGGUUCAAAACCCGGAA
rnacentral:lncRNA from 1 species